GACGAACGCUGGCGGCGUGCCUAAUACAUGCAAGUCGAGCGAAUCUUUAAGGGGCUUGCCCCUUGAGAUUAGCGGCGGACGGGUGAGUAACACGUGGGCAACCUGCCUGUAAGACCGGGAUAACUUCGGGAAACCGGAGCUAAUACCGGAUCAUCCUUUCCUUCGCAUGAAGGAAAGCUGAAAGACGGCGUAAGCUGUCACUUACAGAUGGGCCCGCGGCGCAUUAGCUAGUUGGUGAGGUAACGGCUCACCAAGGCGACGAUGCGUAGCCGACCUGAGAGGGUGAUCGGCCACACUGGGACUGAGACACGGCCCAGACUCCUACGGGAGGCAGCAGUAGGGAAUCUUCCACAAUGGACGAAAGUCUGAUGGAGCAACGCCGCGUGAGCGAUGAAGGCCUUCGGGUCGUAAAGCUCUGUUGUUAGGGAAGAACAAGUACCGGAGUAACUGCCGGUACCUUGACGGUACCUAACCAGAAAG
rnacentral:rRNA from 2 species